AGUCUUUGCUCUUUCAUACAUAUCCUUUAUAGCUUGGAUAUAUGCUACUCGUACUCCUUUCUUCUCUAAAAUCCUCCAAAGAAUGUCUCUUAGGACCCUAUCAUACGCUUUUUCCAAAUCUAUAAAGACCAUGUGUAAAUCCUUUUUCCCAUCUCUAUAUCUUUCCAUCAAUCUUCGUAAGAGAUAGAUUGCCUCCAUGGUUGAGCGCCCUGGCAUGAACCCGA
rnacentral:lncRNA from 1 species